AGCUUUGCGCAGUGGCAGUAUCGUAGCCAAUGAAGUUUAUCUGAGGUGCACUUAUUGCUAAUUGAAAACUUUUCCCAAUACACCGCCAUGAUGACUUGAAAUACAGUCAUCAUUGGCAAUUUUUGACAGUCUCUAUGGAGA